rnacentral:rRNA from 1 species
GAGUUUGAUCCUGGCUCAGAUUGAACGCUGGCGGAAUGCUUUACACAUGCAAGUCGAGCGGCAGCGCGGGGCAACCUGGCGGCGAGCGGCGAACGGGUGAGUAAUGCAUCGGAACAUGUCCAUGUCGUGGGGGAUAGCCCGGCGAAAGCCGGAUUAAUACCGCAUACGCUCGGGAGAGGAAAGCCGGGGACCGCAAGGCCUGGCGCGAUUGGGUUGGCCGAUGUCCGAUUAGCUUGUUGGUGAGGUAAAGGCUUACCAAGGCGAUGAUCGGUAGCUGGUCUGAGAGGAUGAUCAGCCACACUGGGACUGAGACACGGCCCAGACUCCUACGGGAGGCAGCAGUGGGGAAUUUUGGACAAUGGGGGCAACCCUGAUCCAGCCAUUCCGCGUGAGUGAAGAAGGCCUUCGGGUUGUAAAGCUCUUUUGUCCGGAGCGAAACGGGCGCGGCUAAUACCUGCGUCCACUGACGGUACCGGAAGAAUAAGCACCGGCUAACUACGUGCCAGCAGCCGCGGUAAUUCC